UGUGUACCACCAUGCCUGCCUAAAUGUUUCAAUAUUUUGAUAUACUUCUUGAAAAUAUAUUCCUUUGCUAUUCUUAAGAAUAUGGGCUUAGAGCAGGGUGCUGUGGCACAUGCCUUUAAUCCCAGCACUCAGGAGGCAGAGGCAGGCGGAUUUCUGAGUUCGAGGCCAGCCUGGUCUACAAAGUGAGUUUCAGGACAGCCAGGGCUAUACAAAGAAACCCUGUCUCGAAAAACUAAAAAAAAAAAAAAAAAAAAAAAAAAAAGAAUAUGGGCUUAGGCACUCAUAUCUCUGGGUUUGAGGCUAGCCUGGUCUACAGAGUGAGUUCCAGGAUGGUCAGGGCUGCACAGAGAAACCCUCUUUUGAGAUUCACAAACAAACAAAAAUGCAUGGACUUAACACUAAUGGCUUGUUCAGUGUUUUUCUUCUUUUCAGUGUCUUGGACAUUACAUUUACAUUAGAGCAGUGGUUCUCAACCUUCUUAAUGCUGUGGUUCUUUAAUACAGGUCCUCAUGUUGUGGUGACUGACCCCCCCACACCCCGCCAACUAUAACAUUGCUACUUCGUAACUGUAAUUUUGCUGCUCUCAUGAGUCAUAAUGUAAAUAUCUGAUACACAGUAUUCUGAUAUGUGACCCCUGUGAAAGAGCCUUUCAACCUUGAAAAGAGAUUGUGACCCACAAGUUGAGAACCGCUGUUAAAGUACCCCAAACGUGGGGUAUUAUAAAUUAAGUUUCUAAUUGUUCUCUGCUAUGCUAUACACAAAGUGUAACUAGUUGUAUGUUAAAACAAAACAAAACAAAAACCUAAAGUGGGGUAGAAUAUGACCUUAGUGGGGUAGAACGGUCUUAGAGAAUGUUAUAAAGGAAUGUUUAGUACAUUUUCAAAUUUCAGGAGAAGGUGCUAAUUUGUUCCUCUCAUUUCUGUGACAGUAAGUUGAGAGUACUGCCACUCAGGGCUUUGCUACUAGCCACACGAAUCUUCAGAGCACUUGAAUUGUAGCUGGACCAGAUCUCCAUGUGCUGUAACUAGUUUACGUUCCAGAUCUUAGAGACUCAGCAUGCCAAAAGAAUGCCCGAUAUCUCAGUAAUACUUUUUAAAAUAUUGAUUGAAGGGGCUGGAACAGUUGCUUAAUGGUUAAGAGUACUGGCUGUUCUUCCAGAAAACCUGGUUCUAUUCUUAGCAACCACAUGGUGGGUCACAACUGUCAGUGGCUCUGAUCCAAAGGGAUUUGACACCCUCUUCUGGUCGUGUGUACACCAGACAUGCACACGAGACAGACAUUCAUGCAGAUACAACACCCACACAUUUAAAAAGAAAGAAAGAUUGAAUACCAACAUAGUAUUGUCUCAAAUGUAUUGAGUUAAGUUGGCUUAUUUCUUUAUGCUUUUUGUUUCACUCGACUAACAGAAUUUAAAAUAGCUCAGAAUGUAUUUCUAUUAGCAACAUGUCUAGGAGUUUGUUGAAAUUCAGACUAAACAUUACUUUCAUUGCACCAUUUGAAGAUAAAUUAUCUCAGUUUGUUCUAUUUCAAGACUUGAUAAAUUCCAGAAGUCCCCUUGUUAAUGAUACUUUGUGACAACUUCCAGGGCUUUCUGUUGCAGAAACACCUUCCUGGGUGUUAUUUCCAGAGCUUUCAGCUCAGGCCACUUUCCCUUU
rnacentral:lncRNA from 1 species